CAGUCUUUUGGCACGCGGAUGUUGGGAAGAUGGCGUCCUCGCGAAAACGUUGCUUGAGGGAUGCAGAAUUAGAAAAUUAUUUAAAUCUUAUAUUUACCCAGUCAACAAUUCAGGACAUACGGUGCACUUCAUAUGCCAUUAGCUGGUGAACAACAAAAUAGAUGUAGGAGGCCAGAGUGUAAUAAAAAAAAAAGAAACUUGAUCUCAUCCUUAAUAAAGACUAAAGUGCAAUUGUUAAACAAAGUUGAGGCUGAUGUGAUAAUAUUUUAGAAGAAAGUACUUUUUGUUGAUGUUUAGAAUACAUAAGUUUAGAUUUUUUGUACAACUGUAAUGUACUACCUAACUAUACAUAAAUAAAAAUAAUUAUAAAAUA